GAAGAUAUAUUUAAUAGCACAUUUGAAGCUAUCUCAUUUAAAAGAUGAAAAAUAAAAAUUUGAAACAAUGCAAAUACCUGACAAUACACCAAUGUCUACAGGGCAGUGAAUCUUAUGCAAGGUGUUGUCUAAGGCACAUGGGCAAGAGAAACUGGAAAAGCUUUGGGUUGGUGAAAUUAUAGGUGAUUAUUAUAUUUUAAUUUAGAAAUUUCCUCCACAACAAAAAAUAUUGAAUUUAUGUAACAUAAACAGCUUGACCUCAGGCUGAUUAUUAAAAAUCAAACCAGAAAACACUGAAAAUUCAAGGACACCAUUUCACAAUCCUCACCAAAAGCAAACAAGCAAAUAUGAAACAAAACAACAACAACUCAUCACACUCUGCUUAAAACAACUGCUUCAAAACUUUUUUUGGGGGGUUCUGGGGAUCAAACUUGGGUUCUUGUGCUUGUGUUCAAAAUACAUUUUAAACAUUUUAAAGUUAAAUAUAUACCAGCAAUUGAUGAACAAUUUCAUAUUUAAGUAUUUCCCCCAAGAAAUGAAAGUCUGUAUCAUACACACAUGUAUAAGAAUGGUCACAGCAGCUUCAUUUUUAAGGUCAACACUGGAAACAGAACAAAGGGAUGAUUGCUGAUGGAUGCAGGAACAAUUCCUGCCCUGCCCACACAAUGGAUUGCGAUGUCUUCACCCCAGCAAGAAACCCAGCCUGCAUUUACUGCUUGAAGAAGACUGAACAGAAAGAUUUAUACUGAAUAGUUACAGCUCCAUCCCCUCUAGAAAAGGCAGACUCUCUACCAGGUCCAAACACAACUCGGAACCCUAGAGUCACCAGGCACCCCAGUCUCAUGAGUCACCUGGCUGGAGACCAUCAGCAAUGAACUAUUGGAAAUCUGGAGGCCCAGAGCCUGGUGGAGGUCUGCAUGGUGAGGACCGCACGGGCAGGCAUGCCGCGCUCCUGAUGGAGGCCUUCCUGGACAGCUCCCUUCCAUCUGUGACGCCUCCUUCCUGGACCCCUCUGGGGCUUGCAUUUCCUAUCUGCAGGAGGGGAUGCUGGGAAGUUGAGUUCUGCUCUCAGCAGCACGGUCCACCUCUUCUGUCCUUGACUCCUCGCUGGAGCUGCACUCCAGGGUGGAUCUCCCGGCUGAACUACUGACCCAGCAAGAGCAAGCUGAGCCCACUGAGGCAGAACCCAAGGCUGCAGGGCCAGCUCCAGCCCAAACUGAAGUCCCACCUGUAGAGUGUGUGCCAGCUCCACCUGCAGCGCCCUCAUCAGCUCUGGCACCACAGCCAGAGCCAGUGCCAGGAACUCCUCCUCCCCCAGUGGCACCGCAUGGGCUCCUGGUGGUUGCAGGGCAGGAGUCAGCUCCUGAGCUGUUCCCAUCCAUUACUCUUGGUCGUGUUUUGGCAUAUAUUUUUGCUCUUAUUCUCUGGAUUUAUAUAAACAACAGAAUUAUUUUUAAAUGAAAGCAGAGAUUUUAGUCUUGUUUAAAAUGAUUAGCUGGGUGGCAUGAAGUGCAUUCUCUCUGCUCUACACCAGUCACCACUGCCAGAGCAUUUUCCUCAGUGCUGUUCCGGUGAGUGGUGCCUCUUCUCUUCCCAGCUGAUAGUCCCUGGCCACCACUCAUCUUCUGUCCCCAUAAUUUACCUAUCCUACAUUUUUCAUAGUAUUGCAUUCAGAGUUCCCUUUGGGCACAGAAUCCUGGAAGGGACAGAUGAAUCUUGCUUUCUGUAGAAGGGAAAAUCCUAGAUAGAUCCUGUCCAAUUUUCAUUCACCUAUUCAGUAAAUCACCAGUUAUUUUUGUCCAGGAAGAAAUAUUUACAGCAGUAAAAUAUUCAAUGCAAUAUAAAUAAAGGAUGAAAGAAAGGACAGAGCCACUGUUAUUCCAUCAGGAACAGUGACUUUUCCCCCAGGUGCUCCUCCUUCCUGUUUCCAUCUUAGAGAUCAUUCAGGCCUCUGUGUCCUCUCUGUUGUGUGGGGAGUGUGUCCGGCCACAGCUCUUCCAUCAUCUCAUUUACACACUGGGAACAUGUAGACACAAAGCUUUCACUGCCCUUCUGAAUCCUGCAAUUUGAGCAAGAAUUUCCUAGGAAAUGUGAGUUCAAAAUGCACUGGCAGUGAAGGACAAUGCAGCAUUUUAACCUGGGUCUGAACUUCAGGGGACGUCAGCCCAGGAACUGGGGACAGACAGCUGCAUAUAUGAAGAAGCUGCCUGAGCACACAUCGACCUCAGCUGCCUGCCUAUCUCCCUUAGGUGGCAUGACUCCAGUCCCCCAGCAGAAAAGAGGAACA
rnacentral:lncRNA from 1 species